UACAGAGGUCCCAAGCGUUGUUCGGAUUUACUGGGCGUAAAGGGUGCGUAGGCGGUUGGAUAAGUCUGGUGUGAAAUUUCGGAGCUCAACUCCGAAACUGCAUUGGAUACUAUUCAGCUAGAGGUUGGGAUGGGAGACUGGAAUUCUCGGUGUAGCAGUGAAAUGCGUAGAUAUCGAGAGGAACACCAGUGGCGAAGGCGAGUCUCUGGACCAAUCCUGACGCUGAGGCACGAAAGCCAGGGGAGCAAACGGG
rnacentral:rRNA from 1 species